rnacentral:rRNA from 1 species
UACGUAGGGUGCAAGCGUUGUCCGGAAUUAUUGGGCGUAAAGAGCUCGUAGGCGGUUUGUUGCGUCGGCUGUGAAAUCCCGAGGCUCAACCUCGGGUCUGCAGUCGAUACGAGCAAACUAGAGUGUUGCAGGGGAGGCUGGAAUUCCUGGUGUAGCGGUGAAAUGCGCAGAUAUCAGGAGGAACACCGGUGGCGAAGGCGGGUCUCUGGGCAACAACUGACGCUGAGGAGCGAAAGCGUGGGGAGCGAACAGG